GGAGAGGUGGCUGAGUGGUUGAAAGCGCACGCUUGGAAAGCGUGUGGCUACUGUAAGGUGGCUCGAGAGUUCGAAUCUCUCCCUCUCCG
rnacentral:tRNA from 1 species